GAUGAACGCUAGCUACAGGCUUAACACAAGCAAGUCGAGGGGCAGCGGGAUUGAAGCUUGCUUCAAUUGCCGGCGACCGGCGCACGGGUGAGUAACGCGUAUCCAACCUUCCGUACACUCAGGGAUAGCCUUUCGAAAGAAAGAUUAAUACCUGAUGGUAUGAUGAGAUUGCAUGAUAUCAUCAUUAAAGAUUUAUCGGUGUACGAUGGGGAUGCGUUCCAUUAGGUAGUAGGCGGGGUAACGGCCCACCUAGCCAACGAUGGAUAGGGGUUCUGAGAGGAAGGUCCCCCACAUUGGAACUGAGACACGGUCCAAACUCCUACGGGAGGCAGCAGUGAGGAAUAUUGGUCAAUGGACGAGAGUCUGAACCAGCCAAGUAGCGUGAAGGAUGAAGGUCCUACGGAUUGUAAACUUCUUUUAUAAGGGAAUAAACCCUCCCACGUGUGGGAGCUUGUAUGUACCUUAUGAAUAAGCAUCGGCUAACUCCGUG
rnacentral:rRNA from 1 species